rnacentral:rRNA from 1 species
CACGGGGGGAGCAAGCGUUGUUCGGAAUCACUGGGCGUAAAGGGCGUCUAGGCGGUCAGAUAAGUGGGAUGUGAAAUGCCCCGGCUCACCCGGGGACCGGCAUCCCAAACUGUCUGGCUUGAGUAUGGGAGAGGAUGUGGGAAUUCCUGGUGUAGCGGUGAAAUGCGUAGAUAUCAGGAGGAACACCGGUGGCGAAGGCGGGUCUCUGGGCCGAUACUGACGCUGAGGAGCGAAAGCGUGGGGAGCGAACAGG